ACCGCCGGAAAAACAGUUGUCGCCACUGACAGGUACGGUCCCACAUCUGCCAAGAGUCACACCCCGAGUGGCUGCAUGUUGCCAUGGUGGAGACGCAUCCAACCGUGAAAACCUUCAACGCGACGCCCUCCGGUAGGUCCGCCAAAAGAUACACUACGGCUGGACUCUUCCGUCUUCGUGGAGACAUUAUCCUCGCAACUAGUUUGUAGCUGAAUUGCGUUUCCGGCGUCGAUCCCUGUCUCGAGUUCAAGCCCCACUUGCAGUGUCUCUUCCCUUCGACACCAGCGGAACAACGGCAGUUGAGUUCGGGGAAGAAAACACAAGUUGGAACUUGGACAGAAUUUUCAAACUGUUGCAAGAUAUCGACGUCAAGACAUGAGAAAGCCGAAAUUACUAGAGACACGGUGUUCACCGUGCUACAUUGCAGAUCUGUUCCACGAUACGGAAACUAACCAAGUCCAAGAAAAUCUAGAUGAGAUAAAAGAAAUCGGUUUUGGUUUUUCUUAAGCUAGUACCAAAGUGGAAUGUUAAACAAGGGAUAAUAGUGAUGUUGGCCAAGGCUUACGACACUGAAACAAGCACCUUGAAAGUAGCUGAUAGAGUCAUCCGCAUUGGGCCUGAGCUGUUCGAACGUCUGUUCCAAAUUCUGCCCGGUGUUGAUGACUUCCCACCGUUCGAUGCUGGUAAUGCUGACCAUGUGUCGAUAAGAAGAAGAUUUCACCGGUUAAAUACUAUACAGCCGAGGGGCUUUGUUAACCAGUGCGCUAUGGAUACUGAAGAUGACAGGAUGGAGUUUAGGAGGCAUUUCAUCCUGCUCGUGCUGAAGAUGUUUCUGUGUCCGACUGUGCAACACGUCAUCUCACCGUGGCACAUCGAUACAAUACUUGAUGUAUCUGA